UUGGGGCAGAGGAUGAAUCUUUUUUUGUCAAAUGGGUAAUUUGCGACUGAUUUGUUGUGACGAUAACUCACCUUGGAGAACUGAUGCCCUCC